GACGAACCGAGCGAACGUUAUUCGGAAUCACUGGGCUUAAAGGGCGCGUAGGCGGGCGAUCAAGUCAGGGGUGAAAGCCCCCAGCUCAACUGGGGAAGUGCCUCUGAUACUGGUCAUCUCGAGGGAGGUAGGGGCGUGCGGAACUUCCGGUGGAGCGGUGAAAUGCGUAGAUAUCGGAAGGAACGUCGGUGGCGAAAGCGGCGCGCUGGACCUCUUCUGACGCUGAGGCACGAAGGCCAGGGGAGCAAACGGG
rnacentral:rRNA from 1 species